CGAUAAUGAGAUUUAUUAAUUUGCUAUUUUCUUCGUAAUUGCAAGAAGCGGACCAAACUCCGAAGGCGUGAGUUCAGUAUGGGAUGAAACUGAUAAAGAUUAGUAUGCGCUAAAAAGCCAGAAGUAUUUAUGUGCUUCGUUUAAAUUUUAUUUUGCUCAUUUUUCCUUCGGAAAUCGGCUAGGAACUAUGGUUACAAUGUGUAUUGUUUGUCUUAGGUUUCGUCACCGGUGAACGGGAUGUGAAGUCGAGGAUUCCAUAAAUAUUACACAGGCAGAAAGCAUCAACGGAGCUGGGAAGGUCAAGAUGGAUCAGAAAUAAUACAAUGUUUAGCAGCUGCAAGACGAGCCAACGUGAAUUCAAGUUAAACAAAAUUGUAUCGCCAAAACAGUGUGACAAUGGAAUUAUGGAACAACUUCAGCGCGAGAAAACAGGAUUCCUGGAACCCGAACUAACUCGAGAACUACGGUGGAAAUUCCAAAAAUAUUCAGUGCUAUCGUUUGGAGCGACCGACGGCUUUUUACUGGGAUGCGUCUAGUCCUUGGACCCAAUGGGAAGUGUCAUCAGUGUUGGUUGUCCUCCCCUAUUUGGUUGUAUCGUUGAU